UACGGGGGGGGCAAGCGUUGUUCGGAAUUACUGGGCGUAAAGGGCUCGUAGGCGGCCAACUAAGUCAGACGUGAAAUCCCUCGGCUUAAUCGGGGAACUGCGUCUGAUACUGGAUGGCUUGAGGUUGGGAGAGGGAUGCGGAAUUCCAGGUGUAGCGGUGAAAUGCGUAGAUAUCUGGAGGAACACCGGUAGCGAAGGCGGCAUCCUGGACCAAUUCUGACGCUGAGGAGCGAAAGCCAGGGGAGCAAACGGG
rnacentral:rRNA from 1 species